AAUGCGUAAUGGAAAUAGAUAAUAAACAUAGAAAAAUAUACUUAGUGCAGAAAAAUUCAAACACGCAUAAAACUUAUAUUUAAACUUGAAGCAUUACAUAAAUAUAAGUAUGAUAAACGUUUAACUCAAUAUACUUUACAUUGGCCUUAAGGAAAACUAUCUUAUUACAUUCGAAUGUAAACGUUCAUUAUUAAUCUUUAGUCCGCUGGCGGCAAUUAUUCUACCAAUGCGACCAGUGCAGACCAAGAUCAGUCUGUAAGGCUGAUCAUAGUCUGCACAGUUCGUUAUUCUGUCAGUACAUUUCCAGUGAACAUCCCUUCGAAUGAUAAAUGGUAUUGUCCAAACUGAAUGAUGGAAAUGUUCAUUAUAGAAUCUAGCAAGAAGGAAAUGAGCGAAAUCCCACUCCAUACCAGAAUUCUGAGAACUCGUAGGAAUGUGGUAACCGACCGAGUUUCUGAUCCCACAUAAUAUGUCAUAAAUAAUGCACCCGCUCAAACAUCCAUUCACGUGGGUGAGAAUUGCAUUUUAAAGGUAUAUGACUUUUGUUAAAAAUGCUAAAAUGCUCAGACUAUGAAUCGAAAUUUGCUAUCGACGUAGCUCGCAUGGUCACUGCAUUCUCGUCAGGCAAGAUACGUCUGAUAGUUUUCAGAUUUAAAGACACAGCGUCCAGAUCAAUUCCCACAAGACGUUACGGAAAGGCAACGUAUCCUCGUUUCAGAAUGAUAAACGCGAUAUCAACGGGGAAAAGAGCAGUUAAUAACUACAGGGAUAUCUAUCUCACUAGUAUAUUUGCAAAGCUAUUUUCAAUUUUGUCAAUUAGGUGCUAUGUCAGUUAAUGGCGAUUUAAAUGUGAGGUGCGGAAAAGGGUGUCAUUAAUAACGUUAAUAACUACAGGGAUAUUUAUCUCACUAGUAUAUUUGCAAAACUAUUUUCAAUUUUGUCAGAUAGCAGGCUACGCAAGUGUAAAAUAGUGACUAAUUAGUAGAUGUUAUUUUUCUUUUCAAAAAGGAAGAAGCACAGUAUAACGUAUUUUUGUGUUAAAUUCUAUUAUAAACAAAAUAACAAAUUGUGACAAAGAA